rnacentral:misc_RNA from 1 species
GGAAAAUAUUUUCCAAUGUAUGACAUCAUUCUCUUUUGAUUUUCAAAGAUUACAGCCAAAGGCAUCCACACAAUAAAGGAUUAAAUUGAUAGCAACAAUCCCACUGAUAUAUUAUCCUAGAGGACAUGUUGCACUGUUAUAUGAUUUCUCUAGUCUUUCUCAACCUCCCUAAUCUAUGACCAAGUUUAGUUGAACUUUAACUAAUCUCUGUCCCUCAAUUCUUUCAAGACUCCAACAGUACAUCAACAGGGCGGUGGCUAUUGACCACCCUGCAAUUGGUUCUGAUCUCUCCAGGCCUCCCAGACUGUAACUCACCCAUCUUUAUCAUUCCCUCAACAAAGGCCUCGAAAAAAGCAAGUUGGUCCUUGCUAAACAAUUUCACAUAUUCUCUUGUUUCAGGAAAUGUGAAAAGUGUUUGAUCAGAAUUAAGAAACCCUCUCCCUGCAACCAAGUCCUUGAAAUAUACAUUAUCAAACACUGUUGGUGUUGCAUCAAGGUCUCCUGUCACAUUUUCAUCUCCACCAAGUGGACACAAUUUGUCUAGUUUUUCUCUAUAUCUUGGCUCAAUGGCUG